CUUCCAGUGUUUAUGCUGGAUUAAAUCAUAUUAAAUGUCCCAAAAUAGUUCAAAAUGCAUGUCACGGUAUAACAGAGUCCAUGUCUUUAAGUGACUUGUUUUGGUCAAAACUAAUAAAGAACCCAAAGGUAUUAAAAUUUACAAUAAGACAGCAAAAUAUGGACUUAAAAUGGACUCACAUAAUCAACAGAUGAUUUGAACAGUGGCUUCUUUUCUCCCAGUAAAUCAGUUCAUUUUUUAAGUGAUGAAGGGUACAAAACUGUUGGAUUUCCACAAUCAAAUGAUGAAUCGUGCUUGCAAUGACAUGUGCAUAGUAGAGGCAGAGAUUUGAAUGGUCUGAGGUGUGUGUGUAGAUGAAUUAUUGAUUUAAAUGAUAAUGCUCCCAGUGUUGCAAUUGAACACCUGAAUUUAUUUAGAGCCGCUUUUGUUUGUGUAAAUAAGGUCCAGAUUAGAAGUCUGGGACCGUAACUGAGAACAGUUUUCAUUUGACUCCUGCACUAAAAAUGAACAGGGACUCCUGGCUCUGUCAGAAUGAAUAAGAGCAGGGGCACAAUAGUGCCAUGCUUUGCCACAAAAAGGAAACUCUUCCUCAUAAAGAUUUUCUUUUCUUUUUUCUUUUUUUCUUUUUUUGGACCAACUUGGAUUUUAAUAGCCAUUAAAAUUAGGCAGAUUUGUCUCUUAGCUCCAAAUUUGUCCGUUUCAUUUUUGUGUUAUGACCCCAAGUCUGUGUAGGACAAAGCACUGACCAGUGAUGGCAUGCUUCCUUCCUAGGCCUUGUCCCCUGGCAACAAAAACCAUGCAUGGUUCUGAAAAGAGGACAUGAGCCUGGGAAACCCUUUUAGGAAAACAGACGGGAGCUCAAAGCGCAGCGGGAACGGAAUGUCCAAAAAGGAAGAAUGAUACCCCGGCCAUAACCGGAUGCAACGUGCUGCUCCUGCAUUGUUGCAAAGGAGCUUCCAGUCUAGUUCCGAACCGUGCCUUCCAGUAUUUAGCCAGUGAUGCCCUGCAUGUUGAGCACACAGCAAGCAGGUGAGAACAUUGUUCAUCAUCCAAAUCUGAAUCAGGUGUUCACAGUCGACCCUGCUGCGCCUCCCGUCGAAGAAACCACAAGCCAAGAAACCUACGGAACACAAGGAAUCGAUACAAAGUUUUUCAAGGACGUACAAUGGCAGAAGUCAAAUCUACAAAUGGAUUCUGUAUUUCUAGUUCUGUUGGCUAUGACAAUGCACUUUUUUUACAGUUGACCUUAAAUGUUACAUUACACAGUGUCCCUGGUUUGUACCUUUCCUCUGUGUCCAAGAACUGACAGUUCUCGAACACUCCUGUUCUUUUGUUUGGUUAAUAAUGCACCGUUACAACUCUAACCACCAGGGUUAGAGCUGCCAUGCCAGAGCCCACAAAUGAAUCACAGAAAAGCACUAAAUCAAAGAUUGCAACACAGAAAGAGACACAAAAUACUGAAGACAUGCCGAAGACUGGGAGUCUAUAGUGCAUGUAUGUAGCUAGGUAAAUGAAAGCAUGACAUGAACUUUGAAUGGUAAAAACCAAAUAUCCAGUUGGCACCAGCAACACAGACUAUCAAAGGCAUGAUAGAGGCAUGAUCGAGGAAAUGCAGGCGUGUAUGUCUGUCUGUGUGUGUGUGUGUGUGUGUGUGUGUGUGUGUGUGUGUGUGUGUGUGUAACCUUGAUUUGCUUUCCCUCUUGCUCAAUUAUUUGUUUAGUGAUCAUGCUUCAAGGUUUGAAUUGGUUUAACACCCACUAGCUUGUUUCGUCAAUGUUUUGCAUUUCUCUUGAUGGCAGUGGCUAAUAUUAAACCUUGAAAAAGACACGGUAACCUGCAAAGUCAGCGCUUUAUUCAUGUAACAAGUUCUUCCAAAAGUAUGAAUAUCCUGUAUAAAGACUGCUAUUAAUGACUAACUGAUGAAAAGUAUGUGAUUAUUAGCAUAUGAUUAGAAUAUCAUAAAAAAGUGAUCUUUUUUUUUGGGGGGGGGG